UCGCCUGUUUAUCAAAAACAUGGUUUCUUGGAAUAUAUAUAUAAGAAAUUUAACCUGCCCACUGAAAAAUUUAAAGGGCCGCAGUAAUUUGACUGUGCAAAGGUAGCAUAAUCAUUAGUCUUUUAAUUGGAGGCUGGCAUGAAUGGUUGGACGAGGUAAAAGCUAUUUUAUAUUAAAAUAUUGAAUUUUGAUUUUAAGUAAAAAGACUUAAAUAUAGUUAAGGGACGAGAAGACCCUAUAGAGUUUAAUAAAUGUAAUUUUAAUUGAGUUUUUAACAAAUUUUUGAUUAUUAUAAAAUUUAUUUAAUUGGGGUGAUAAAAAGAUAAAUAAACUCUUUUUUAAUUUUAAUUUAGGUAAAUAGAUUAAUGAUCCAUUUAUAGUGAUUAUAAGAUUAAAUUACCUUAGGGAUAACAGCAUAAUUUCUUUUAAGAGUUCUUAUCAAAAGAGAAGAUUAUGACCUCGAUGUUGGAUUAAGGUAAAUUUUGGGUGUAGAUGUUCAUAUAAUUAGGUCUGUUCGACCUUUAAAAUCUUACAUGAUCUGAGUUCAAACCGGAGA
rnacentral:rRNA from 1 species